GCUCAGUAACACGUGGAGAACGUGCCCUUAAGUGGGGGAUAAUCUCGGGAAAUUGAGGAUAAUACCCCAUAGAUCAUGAGAUCUGGAAUGACUCAUGGUUCAAAGUUCCGGCGCUUAAGGAUCGCUCUGCGGCCUAUCAGGUAGUAGUGGGUGUAAAGUACCCCCUAGCCUACGACGGGUAUGGGCCUUGAGAGAGGGAGCCCAGAGUUGGAUUCUGAGACACGAAUCCAGGCCCUACGGGGCGCGGCAGUCGCGAAAACUUCACACUGGGGGCAACCCCGAUGAGGGAAAUCCUAGUGCUAGGACAUUUGUUCUAGCUUUUCUCAAGCGUAGAUAACUUGAGGAAUAAGGGCUGGGUAAGACGGGUGCCAGCCGCCGCGGUAAUACCUGCAGCCCAAGUGGUGGUCGAUUUUAUUGAGUCUAAAACGUUCGUAGCCGGUUUGGUAAAUCUUUGGGUAAAUCGGGAAGCUUAACUUUCCGACUUCCGAAGAGACUGCCAAACUUGGGACCGGGAGAGGCUAGAGGUACUUCUGGGGUAGGGGUAAAAUCCUGUAAUCCUAGAAGGACCACCGGUGGCGAAGGCGUCUAGCUAGAACGGAUCCGACGGUGAGGGACGAAGCCCUGGGUCGCAAACGGGAUUAGAUACCCCGGUAGUCCAGGGUGUAAACGCUGCCGACUUGGUGUUGGAGGCCCUUCGGGGGCAUUCAGUGCCGGAGAGAAGUUGUUAAGUCGGCUACUUGGGGAGUACGUCCGCAAGGAUGAAACUUAAAGGAAUUGGCGGGGGAGCACCGCAACGGGAGGAGCGUGCGGUUUAAUUGGAUUCAACACCGGAAAACUCACCAAGGGCGACUGUUACAUGAAAGCCAGGCUAAUGACCUUGCUUGAUUUUCAGAGAGGUGGUGCAUGGCCGUCGUCAGUUCGUACCGUAAGGCGUUCUCUUAAGUGAGAUAACGAACGAGACCCUCAUCUAUAAUUGCUACUUCACCCUCCGGGGUGGAGGCACAUUAUCGAGACCGCUGGCGCUAAGUCCGAGAAGGAGUGGACGACGGUA
rnacentral:rRNA from 1 species